rfam:Stegodyphus mimosarum contig71172, whole genome shotgun sequence.
GCUUUCGUGGUGUAGUGGUGAGCACGCUGGAAGCGUAUUCUAGAGGUCCGUGGUUCGAGUCCCGACGAAGGCG